GUUUUAAUAAUUUAAUUUUAAAAUAUUGGUCUUGUAAAUCAAAAAUAAGAAUUUUCUUUUAAAACU
rnacentral:tRNA from 1 species